AUGACAGGCUGAUGGAACAGAAAAAGUCUCUGAAGUUGCCAGGUUUCUUUAGUCAAACUUCCUCCUCUACCAGGCCCAGGCCCAGAGUCAGAAGGAGGUGAAUGAGAAGAUUCUACAACUCUGUGAGACCUUGGAUGGCAUACUGAGCCAGGUACUGAUUUGGCACGAACUUUAACCAAAAGUUGACUGUGGCACUACUGUUGUUUUUCAUACCAAAUGAAAUACACAAAACCUAAGAAAACAGGAGAAUUUCUGGAGGCAGAUCCUGUAAGGUUUUGCAGUCAAUACCUCUAACCUCAGUUUUCAAUGUUUUGUGUGAACUUUCUCUAAAGCCAAAUAACAGGAAACCUGUCAUCUCUGAAAAUGGAUUAUCUUUCCAUAGAAGGAUUCAUUUUUCCUAUGCAUCUUUUCCUUAUACAUGUGAGAGGUCCAACACUGUAAUGGGAAACUAAGCAAAACAGGACUGCGUUAACACUACUCUAAUAUGCUGGUGAGCAUUUAUAUAGAGCCAGAAGAUGAUUACAAAGCUGCAUUAAAUUUCUUUCCCACUGAAACUGAGCAGUUAGCAACAGGCAAGUAUCUAUUUUGCUGUGAGAAGACGGUACGGAAAACAACAAAGCUCCCAUAGGCAAAAUUUCAUGUUGUUGUUCUACCUGCCAUAUUGGAAGUGCAAUAAGGGCCAUUUACUGGGGAUGGGAAUAGCUCUCUAGGGGAAGGACAGGAAGACAGGAUCAUGUUAACACUAAACUUGCUUUCUUCCCAAGAACUUCAUUAAAGAGAACAAACAGUAUUUCUUCAGGGCUUUAACGAAUAAUGAAAUCCCUAAAAUCCUUUUUUGAGGGAUGUAACUAUGAACAUUUUUACUUUAUAGGAGGCAAAACCAAGAGAGAGGCUUUGACUAAAAAUUUUUAGUGGUCUUCAUUUUAGGUCCCUUGUGUUUUGGAUGUCAAGGUCUAUAUUUCCUCCUGCUCCUCCUCCUUCGUCUAAAAGAUGCUGGGCUCCCACAACUAUAGCUAAGAACAGCUGUAUCACAGUGUCACGGAAAAUUAAACUCAAAUUAUUUCAGGUAGAAAACCAAGUAUUAAAAGUUUCAGUGCAAGAAACUGGACUCUCAGCAUCUUACACAGGUCUCUGAGUUUCAAUUUCCUCUAGCUCAGCACUCCUGCACCAGAAAUUCACAGUGCUGCCACCAUGUAUCUACACGAGUGCAAAAAAUCUUUUAUAGAAAAGGCCAAAGGGCAAACAGCUGCUGCAUAAAUACUUUGAAAGUCAGUCUCUGAAGUGGUGAAUGGUUAAGGGGACAUCUACAGCUUUCAAAUAGACAAGAGCCUACUUCCCUCAUUCUCUGAGCUUAUCAGGCAUGGAUCACUCCAAACUGAAAUCCUCCAGCUAUGGCUAGUGCUUUGAUGAACCCAGGGGCAACGGGCCCUGCCAUCAGGACCAGCAUUACAGUGAUGUUAUUAUUUGGCUUCAGCUGCCCAGACUGCAGUCAGAGACUCUUUUCAUCCUGUUGCAAAGACUUCAUAGACAUACCCUAAACAACAGCUGUUGCAUUACUCUCUUGGAAAUAAAGAAAUAUAAUGUUACAGAAGUCUCACCUUCCUCCUCUCAUGGUUGGUUUUGCAUAUUUUUGCUCUAUACCAAAUCAUUUUUGUGUCCUUUUUUUCUCUCCAGAAAUUAGUAUUUUAUUUUUCCAGAGAGUGAAGCUGCUCUGCAAGGUGAAGAGUGCAGUGGAGAGAAGGCACAGCAGGAGUUUAGGAAGCUUGGGAGUUUUCCACAUCACCAUUUUUUUCCUGGCUGUGAGAGCAGCAAAAUAAUUAAGAUCCUUGUAAUUAAUAAAAUAUGAAAUCUGUGUAACUUCUGACUCUGUAUAUGCAAUGUUAAAAAUGGUGAUUCACCUGGUUUGUACUGCGAAGAUGAAGUGACAUGCUUUACUUUUUUUGAGCAGUUAAAAGAAGUCCCUCAGUAAAUACAGUAUAUUUACUUGACUGUUUUUUAUUUCCUAAGUCAUCCAAACCUCACUCACAUGGCAUUACAUAGCCGGUAAUAUUUACAUUAUUUUGUCUUUGCUGAUUUGGUAAAUAAGGAAGGGAGUCUGUAUUUCUGAAAUAGAAGCAAGAAUUUAAAAGUUUAACAGUGGCCUUGAGCAGCUCCUGUGUCAGACUACAUGAUGCAACAUAACUUGAAGCCGAGGUCCCCACAUUUAUUUCCUUCUAGACCUGCUUUAAAAGUCAUUUGUGCUGUAAUGUUUACAGAAAGCCCCAAAGACAAUUAUGAGGUUAGUGGAAACUUGUGGUUACAUUUAACAGCUGUCUACAUAUGCACACAGGUGGUCCACAGAUUUUGUUGUUGCUUGCACCAUUAGCAAGUUUGCUGAUGAUACCAAACUGGGAGGUGCUCUUGACUCUCUUGAAGGACAAGAGGCCUUGCAGAGGGAUCUAGA